AUACGGAGGGUGCAAGCGUUACUCGGAAUUACUGGGCGUAAAGCGUUCGUAGGCGGUUUGUUAAGCAAGAUGUGAAAGCCCUGGGCUCAACCUGGGAACUGCAUUUUGAACUGGCAAACUAGAAUACUGUAGAGGGGGGUGGAAUCUCCAGUGUAGCGGUGAAAUGCGUAGAGAUUGGAAGGAAUAUCAGUGGCGAAGGCGGCCACCUGGACAGAUAUUGACGCUGAGGAACGAAAGCGUGGGGAGCGAACAGGAUUAGAAACCCCAGUAGUCC
rnacentral:rRNA from 1 species